AACCUCCCAGAGUGCUGGGAUUACAGGCCUGAGCCACCGUGCCCAGCCGAGAUUUUUUUUGAUACAUAAUAAUUCAUGAGACUAUUACAAAUAUGGUAAAUGGAUUCUUCCUUCCCAGCUCACCCACACUCAAGAUGCUUCCUUUAAAAUUCUGUUAACAAUUUGUGCUAGUUAAUAGGUAGCUAGUGCAAUACUCAAGUAAAGGAUGUUGUGUAGUUUUGGAUACUGAGAUGUAUAGUCUUUGUCUAAAAGGAGUUGAAAGACAGAAAUAUGACAAUAUGAGAGGGUUUAGAUGAUUCUAUUAGAAUGAUAUUUAUGUAUUUAAAACAGAUAUGGUUAAGGAGUUCAGCAAAAAUAAUGUCUCAAUACAUAAGAUCAGAGAUUAAGCGUGGAGGAAGAAAGUUGGAGAAGGAUUAACAAGAAGUGAUGUUUUCAAAUUUCAUGUGUGGUUAGAAGCCAUCAUCUUAGUGACUCAAGGCAGUAAUACUACUGCUUUACAAUACAGUGCUCUAAAAUAAUGUUACAGAUAUUGCAUGUACUUUUAAAAACAUAUAUCAUUUUGGGGAUACUCUUUGAUGCCAAGUUUAAAAAAUUCUGAAGUGUUUAAAAUGAUACAAACUUAGAGCAUGAUCUGUGUUCCUUUUUUUUUUAAUCAGGUAAGCUUCUUGGUUUUGGGUGUAGAUCUGAAAAGUUAACAUUUCUUGAACCAAUAAAAUGUUUCCAGUUUUAUAUAAUUAUAUCACAAAGUCUACCUUCUGCCUUGAUUUGCAAAGAAAAGCUCCAAAAAGGACCAUAAAGAAGAGGAGAUAACACACAAAUGGUGAGCAAUGAAGUAGAUGUACAAAAUGGUUUGUGCAGAUUUGGCACUUAAAACAUACAGCAGCCGAAGUACAUCUUAAAUUUCAUUUAGUGAAUAUAUUGCUCACGAGUCCCUCUCUUCAUUUCCUGAGGAAGUAGAUCCCUAUUCUCUCCCAUAUGGUGAGAAAAUCUCUUUGCUAUCCAGUUUCCCUGUUUACAUUUGUUCUUCCAUCCCCUUCUGAUUCCUCAGCAAAGCAGCUGCUUUGAAAAGAAGCUCAAAGGAUUACCUUGAAAUGGUUACCCACUCUCCCCCUUUUCUGCUCCAAGAAGAAAGUUUCUUUCUGUAUUUUCCCAGCAUUAUUAAGAGUCAAGACUUGAGGCCUUAAGGAUUUAAUUUUGGACAAUAUAGUCUACUCUGCCUGAUUGAAACCUGGGAUAUACUUCAAAGAGUAUAUUGAAGUGCAUUUGAUGGCCUGUGGAAUUUUUGGAAGGGCCGUAGGAGCAGACUGCAAGCUGAGCUUCCAGAACACUCCCAGCACUCAGAACUUAAGUCCACUACAGUCUGUAAAUAUGUUGCGGCCAGUGCAGAAAGCUGUUACUGCUGCUGACUGGAGGGUCUUGCUGCCCGCAGUACCAACUAAGCCAAUAAAAUGCAUGCCCACAGCCA